UCAAAAAUACGCUGCCGUUAUUAUUGAAUAUUUCUAGUUUUCAAAACAUACUUUUUUUUAUUGAUUUAGUGUCUAAAUUGGGACAUAUCAACGAUUUUAUAUUGCAAAAUCGUCCCACAGCAGCAUGUCGAGAAUAAAGCACUUCCACACGCUCACGCAUUAUCGUAAAAAUUAAU